UCUCGAUUGGUCUAGUGGUAAGGAUACCUGCUUGUCAAAGACAAUACGCAGGUGGCCGGGGUUCGAUUCCCCGAUCGAGAG
rnacentral:tRNA from 1 species